GCCUCGGUAGCUCAGCCUGGUAGAGCACUGCCUUGGUAAGGCAGGGGUCCCGGGAUCAAAUCCCGGCCGAGGCU
rnacentral:tRNA from 2 species